rfam:Musca domestica strain aabys unplaced genomic scaffold Scaffold68, whole genome shotgun sequence.
UUGGACAUACUUUGAUUUAGAAUUCCUACGCUUUACCUUGUUAUAUGAAAAUGGCAAAGCGUUUGGAUUCUGAAACAAAUUGUUU